AACGCGAAGAACCUUACCUACCCUUGACAUACUAGAAAUCCUACAGAAAUGUGGGAGUGCCGAAAGGAAUCUAGAUACAGGUGCUGCAUGGCUGUCGUCAGCUCGUGUCGUGAGAUGUUGGGUUAAGUCCCGUAACGAGCGCAACCCCUGUCCUUAGUUGCCAGCGCGUAAUGGCGGGAACUCUAGGGAGACCGCCGGUGAUAAACCGGAGGAAGGUGGGGAUGAUGUCAAGUCAUCAUGGCCUUUAUGGGUAGGGCUACACACGUGCUACAAUGGUCGGUACAAAGGGUUGCCAAACUGUGAAGUGGAGCCAAUCUCAAAAAGCCGAUCGUAGUCCAGAUCGGAGUCUGCAACUCGACUCCGUGAAGUUGGAAUCGCUAGUAAUCGCAAAUCAGAAUGUUGCGGUGAAUACGUUCCCGGGCCUUGUACACACCGACAUA
rnacentral:rRNA from 1 species